CUUCUUCUUUGAGGCCAAAACCAGACGGGAGAAACUUUCUCGGAAGAUCUUCCACCCGCAAAAUACGGACAAGGAGUGUACAGGACCUACAGGUACAGUUAGGCGCUAAUGAUGGCGACCUCGCACCUUCGUGCUGCCAAAACAUUCCCUGUGCGUGCUUCAAGAGAGAGAAGAGAGAGAGAGAGAGAGAGAGAGAGAGAGAGAGAGAAAGAGAGAGCUUUCGGUACACGUUAUCUGAAUCAAGGCAACAUCCAAGAUCGUCGCUAAUGAAACCCGAAUUAAGCCCGUUUGUCUUUCUUUCUUUUCCAUUUCAUAUUCUCACUUACUAAAGAGAGAGAGAGAGAGAGAGAAGCACAAACCAUGGAUCAGUUGGAUCAAAUUGUGAAAAGAAAACCUAAGCUAGUGGCGUAGCUUUG